AAGGGGAAGUUGGAGGAGGGGGAGGAAAAAGAAGACGUAGAAGAAGAAGAACAAGAGGAGGAAGCAAGAAAGAGAUGGAAAGUGAGAGCGAGAGAGACUUAGCGACCCAGAAUGUUGAAGCAAGGAGUGACGAAGAAAAUAAAAGUAAAGAGACAAAUGAAAAUAUAACUAACUUGGAGGCGGAAGAAGGUAAAGCUCGUCAAGGGUCUGGCGAUAAAAAAGGGAACCUGAGGGAGGGGCGAGGAACUGAGGUAGAAAACAAAACAACUGAGGUGGAAGGGAAGCAACAACAACAACACACAGCUCGUAAGAGUGAACACGGAGGCGCUGACGGCGAAGAAGCGUCCUUGAGCAGCGUCCGAAACCCGAAGGCCACCAAAGGGGACCCUGAAGCCAGACCUAGAGACGCUGGGAUGAAUGGAGCACCGCAGUUUUCAGACGUCGCCAAACAGAUAAUGAAAGAAGUUCAAGAGACACGUAACAGACGCAACAAGUGCUUGAGGGACCUGCGCAGCAUGAAGCCCAAGGCCGCCAGAAUCUACAUAGCGAGGAGGUACAAGGAGAGAGCGGCGGAAAAGAAGACGCCACAGUCGGCAUCAUUGGGCAUAUCUGAAGGACAAAAGGAUGAGGACAGUCUUAAGUCGUUGUCGCCUAUUCCCGAAGCGACGAGUCCCAGUUUGCCUCAAAGUUCCCCGAAAACAAAGAAAAACUCUGUCGACUCGAGCUCGCCCUCAGAGGCUGUUCAGGAUCCAGCGUCGUUCGUGUUUUCCCCAGGUGACCACCAUGAAGCUCAGCCGAUGUCGAAGGCUCUCCAAGGAUCCUCGGUAUCGCUGCGGAGAGAGGAGAGAGGAGAGAAAAACAGAAAAUCCGAAAAUAGUUCAACACAAGAAAACCCGGGAGAAGCUCGUUGCUCCUCCUCCUCCUUUUCUUCUAGUACGACAAACAAUGAGAAUAAGUUUCAAAAUGAGCAAGGAGAAACAUUCGAGGGAGUCGAAGUGGCAAAAAAAGAAUUAAUAUCACUCAAAUCAUCCCCUCCGCCCCUCCCGCUGCCUUCUGUUGACCCAUCUAUGGUCGAGGGGAGUGAGCUGCGGCAACUUGAUUCAGGUGAUACGCUUACUAAAAACUCGCCGGGGACUGAGGCGGAGGCAACAGGAGGAAGGACGCAACAGUGUUUGGCUGCCGCGGGUCGUGUGAGGGUGUGUGGCAGCGCCCCGUCCAGCGUCGCCACCGCCGCCGCCACCACCACCCUCCAGUCUCGCUCCAGCUCCUCCCACUUCCACAACCCCGACGCGACGCACGGCAAGACGAUAGAAAAUUCUGUUCAGUUAACGAGUGACGCAGUUGACAAUAAUGGCAACAUAGAUGCUGGUGGCGCAGUGCAGGGUGAAGGUUUACUAAAAGUGCCGGGAAAGUUGCCACCCAGAGUUGUAGAAGUGAAACACAAAACUGGAGCAGGACCAAGUUUGGAGCCUCCGCCGCCAUGUAACCCCCCUCACAGUGCGGGUAGUGAGGCCUCUGCCACGAACUUAUCAUCUACACAGGAUCCAGAACAGGAGAAGCAAGGAGUUAAGAAAACGCACGCCCCUAAGAACGGGCGUGACGGGCGUGUGUCGGGCGCUGAGCAACAGAGCCUCGCAAACUCUUCUGAGGUUUUUGACAACGCGGACAACGAGAGCAAAGAAAUCGGGGAAAGUGGUAGUUCUUUAAAGCUAAACGACCACAGCCAGGGCGCAAAAAAGGCAGAGGCUAGGACAUCAAUGAGACAGGACGAUGGGAAAGAGGCAGAGGCUCUUGAGGGACCUUGGGCAACGCCGCAGCUGGCCCGAGUCGUGCAGGAGCUUGUCGUCUCCAGGAAAUUCAACAUGUCUUCGUCUCAGGCCAAGAAACGUCAGCAAAAUUUAACACGCUUGGACGCCCAGCAGAAGGAUCGCACACUCAUCUUUGACAGUUCCAGGUUAAUCAAAGCCGAGGACAAAAGUGAAGUCCCUCCAGAGCCACAAAACGAGACCUCUAAAGGUACUCAGAAUCCCAGCCAGGCGCAAAAAUCUGGAUCCAGGAGUGUUUCGAGGAUUAUUGGGAGGAAGAACAGACGAGGCAAUGGCAAUGGGGAGCACUUUGCACACGGCAACCCCACGAAGAAGGGAAAGCAAAACCAACCCCAAGAAAGUAAAACUGCUCGUCUCACUGGAGAAGAGGAAGGGCGCCACAAACAGACAAAGCCACAAAUCAAAGAGAACUCGCAAGAUAAAAAUACAAAAAAUGAGAGUGUGCAACCAGAAGGAAGGGACGGGAACGCUGUUGAGGUUGGUGAGAUAUUAAAAUGCGAAGGCAAUAAAGCGAAACUAGUUGAGCACGAUGACAGCAACACCUUACAGCCGCCCCCAAGGAUUGAACAACUCUCUCGGUCACCGCAGCAUCCGAGGCCCAGGCUGCGCAAGAUCGUCGAGAACUUGACUCUCGUACACAAUCAAGCUUCCCCAAGGAGCUCCCCGCAGCCAGGCUCUCCAGCGUUUAGUUCGUCCCUCAAUUCAUCACCAAGAUUUAUUGAAAACUCACCAAGAUCUCCGUCUGGAGUCUCCCCUUUACCUAUAUCUCCUCGAGCCAGAGCCUCCAAAAUGGUUGCCCUGAGCCCUCGGUUUGUAGAAGCUCUGUCACCGCCUGAAGUAGAAAUAGUCGAUGGGAAGAAUGUCACAGAAGCAAUGCAGGGCGGAAGUAAUCUGCAACAGCACUUUGAGGCAAGAGCCCCUUCCAGCAGUGCCCAAAGAGACAAUGUUCAAAGGGAAGACAACACAAGUAUGCCUCCAACUCCAAGAAAGAGCAAGGAAGAAGAGUUGUUAAGCCCCUUGAGGAGAACGUCAACGCGGAAUGACGCUCCCACUGAACUUAUUUUUAACUUUAUGAAGCUCCCGGAGAUUACCACCGACAGCUGCAGUACCAAAAGUGACCAGAAACUUCCUGGUAGUGAAUCUAGUCCCCAGGCGGAGUCUAAUGCCGGACAAGCUCGAAACAAGGAACGACAACGGGGGCCUGAACUUCAGCCCUCAGAGGUCUCCAAACCGGGCGCUGGAAAGCUGGACUCAGACAUUUUACAGUUUUUCGAGUCGCGGCAAUAUAAGCCCAGAGAGAUAGUGCGAAAUGAAACAUUAAUCACAGAACACUUCAGAGGCACCAACACAAAGUUAAGGACACACGGCGACGGGCGGAACAGGGGAGCUGCUUCACGUAACAUGUCAAAAGGCAGCUCCUGCGAUAUUGAGCCUGGAAGGAGGGAUCGCACCUUCAGUGACCCGAUGGAAAAAUCACCACGAGGAAGUAGAAACGCAGGGAAGCUGAGAUCAGUGAAGAGUUUUGACGACAGUUCAGUGGUGAGAUCAUCUGCAAGUGAAGAAGAGACAGAGGAGGAGAAUGAAACCCGCAAUAUAAAAAAGAGAAAGGAAGAGAUGACACCAGAACGAUCAAAUGGUAAAGGUAAGGCCUCUAAAGCUCAUAUAGAGGUGGCGACUGAAGUGGACGAUGCUAGCGAGUAUAAUAUCUUCAUCACCUCUGUUAAUGACAGCAACAGAGGGAAGACGGAGGCGACAACAGACACCGCUAGACAGCAGCCAACUCCCUCAGCCCGGGACAGGCCACCGAAGACUGAAGAAAGUGAAGAACAAAACAAUAAAAGAAAAGCCUUCGCUGGUAUAUCAGGCAGCCAAAACUUCACGGGGGAAGAAGGUGUUUACUCGGCUACUAACUUUCAGGAGAAUCCUAAAAAGAUUGAAGCUGUGCCCUACAACACCAUUAAGAGCCAAAAUACUUCUGAGAACGGGCAAAGAAACAGCGACAAAGCCACAGACAGGCCUAGUGUGUUAAGUGGCAACUCACCCUCCCCUAAGGGCGUGGGGCUCGAUAUCCUACAAGCUGGUGUUACGCACGGAGCAAAAAAGCAAGGAGGUGAAAGCGAUACCGUCCUCAACGCCACGAAGAGUGUAGAAGAGAUAUCAGACAGGAAGAGGCUGACAAAUAGUAAUGAGGUGAUUGUAACUUCGGAUUCUACCUCCAUCCCGAGUCUUCAGAGGGAGAAGGGCAAAGAGACAACCCCUUCAGUGCCUCGAGUCACUGGAGUCAACCCGUUCAUGGCUGUUGUCCAGGAAUUGCAGGAAAAAGCCGGGAGAGGGGUGGGGAGAAGGAAAGAAGUAGAGUGUGAUGGGGGGUUACCCUUGCAAGACGAUCUUGUUGGUGAGGUUGCCAACUCGCGAUCCACCACGAGUUCCGUUCAUCGGGUCACCCCAGCGUUGCCCCCUCUCCCACCUCCCCCAGAGUCCUCGUCAGGCCUCGCUUCCCUCACAGGGUCACCAGGGAGCAACCCAAAUCUUGAUCACAGACUGGAUGAUAGGAAACCGAAUACAAAGGAUGAGAAACACCAUCAUGACUUGAGUGAGGGCUCUAGAGACGCCUCCAGCGGGACUGAACUAGUGGUAAAGAACCCAGAAGAACUGGAGGGGGCAAAAAAGGCAAGUCGGGAUUCUGUGAUUUUCCAUCUGACAUUGGUGGGUUCUGGCGGCAAGAGAGAAAAGGAUGCUGAACAAAUAACACCGGAGCUUUCCCCACAAAGUAUCGUGAUCCAGAAGAAAAUACAUGCAACGUCUGCAGUGGAAAGUGAGAAGAGGACCUUCCUGGAGACUUGCGUCGACGAUAUUGAGCCGCAACAACAGCAACAGCAAGGCUCACCUUUCCCGUCUCAAGAUGCAUUCAACAAGACCGUAGCAAAAGGAGUAAAAUCUAGUAAGGCUGAUCACAUUACGGGAGAAGAUAUUGAGAAAAUAUAUGAUGUUAUAAACGUGACGGAGACGAAUAAAACUUUCAACCCUGGAAGAGGAGGAGGAGGAGGAGGAGGAGGAGGAAAUGGAGGGACAGGCGAGAGAGCGGGGCGUGGAGGUACUGCCGCUUCCCGUAGACUUCCAAAAUGUCACCGAAGACUCACAAAGACUAUAUCGGAAGGAAGUUUCUCCCUCGAUCAACAAGAACCUGACACCAGCGACUCUUCUAACCAAGACCCUGUGAAGCUUCCUCGACCGCCUUCUUUACUUAGAAGCCGGACAGAGAGCGAGUUUUCCCCUGAGAGAUUGGCGUCAGCUGCUGCCGUGGAGUGUGAGGCUUCAAGCAAAGCGUCGACGGUCAGUGAAAUCUUUGCCCGCGGGGUGUACGGCAGACUCAAGGCCAAGAGUCACAGCGCUGAAAACAUUCGGAUGUCUAGUUUGUCCUGCGUUGAGAUUCCUUUCUCUCAUGAGCCUCCAGCCCUACCCUCCGCCGCCCUAUAUCCCAACGUCUUCUCUUUAUCCUCCUCUUCCUCUUGUCGCAUUGUCGGUGUCUUGAAAAAGAAGCACUCAGCCGAUGACUUCCUUGAUUCCAGGAAGCAAAGAAUGGACAACCAACCUAUUAGAGGCAAUGGAAACAGUCACGGCAAUCCUGGAACAGGCCAGUACCCCUUCGCUCUUGAAUCAGCGUGUGUCAAGGACGAUCAAGCACCACAAGACACAGCAGGUAAUGACAGCAAGCUUCCCACCGCUCCUCCACCAUCAGAGUCGACACAAAGAGACACCACAGUACAUCAGCAAGCGCCGGAGGUACAAGAAAAAAACAUCAGUAGUUCUUCACAGUCAGGAAAGGCAGGAAAAUCGUCUCUUUCCUCGAAUCCAUCGUCAGAAACACCUAUAUACCAAAAUAUACCCGAGGCUCUUCUGUAUCAAAAGAAAACAGAGGCAGCGAUGGUGAAAAACUCGCAGCAAAGUCAGAUGAAAGAGGAACAACAGAAACCAAGUACAGGAGACCAGAAAAAGCCGCUUCAAAAAGUGAUACACAUAUAUGAAAACAUGCCCAUAGUCGCUGGGAGGGAGCCACAGGAGGAAGGAGCUGUCCUCGAAUCUCCAAAGAGGAUCACCCAGCCAGUACCAGAGAGUUCAAUAAGUGGGAAUGACUUUCCGGAAUCCACAGGCUCAUCCAGUUUGCCUUCCACCUCUCCCAUAAGCGAUGUCUUCUUUCCAUCCAAACGCGCCACUUUUGAGAAGACUUCCUUGAGGCGAAAGCAACAACCAGAAUCCGAAAGCAGAAUUGAGAAGCAAAAAUCGAACUAUAUGAAGCAAAGAUCAGUAAGAGUUGGGAUCCUCAAGAAGCAGAAGUCAGAUAUUACUGGAGUGCGACUUCAGAAGCUCCAGUACUUCGACACGGAGUUGCCUGGAGAGCUGCGGAGGUCUUAUUCACUAAGCGGCAACGGUGUCCAGAACAAGGAGCCGAGAUCUCCCAAGAAUGGCCCAGAGGACGAUACAGGUCCUGACAUUCCGGACACUGACGCCAAACAGAGAGGAGAGGGCAAGGAGGAACUAAGUGACCUUGAACGUAGGUGUCACAGCUCUAUCAGCAAUACCAGCAGAAGCAGCACCAUUGACCGGAUUUUGCAGAGUUGUGCACCUUGCAUAUCCAGUAACACCACCAGCUCAACCCUCGACCUCUCCUCUCCUCUCCCCCUCUCUCAGUCUCCGCAGAAAAAAAAUGUCUUUUACUCCGGAGGUGAAAGCACCGGCGGGACAGCGGGGCGUCUAGUACGUCGACAGCAUCCGCGGGCGAAGCACCCAUACAAAUCUUCUUACUCAUCCUCUGACGUAACCUUGCUAAGCUCUGGUGCAUUGCCUGAAGCCUCCCAUGGAGCCAACUUUGGCAAGCAGCCUACCAAAGCAGUACAAGAAAAUUCCUUCAAAGCAGCAUAUCACAAGGGCCAGUCAGCCCCAGAGCAGGUACCCAGGACAGCAGAACCCGCCGAGUCUUGCUAUAUCAACAGUAGUCAGGACACAGGAAGCACCUCAGGACUGGCCUCAUCAGAAACCUCCAGCAGCCUUGAUGAAGCGGCCAACAACAGCAAACAGAAUAUGAAAGACGACGGCUUCGCCGGUUGUGACAGAGACAGCUGCACGCCAACCCCGGAACAAAGCGGCGGUCCAAAUGGUGAUACAGAUUUUUACAGCGAAUUACUUGACACCAUCCUUAGUGUUGUCGACGCACAAGAGCAAUCCUUCUCUGCGGAAGUCGAGAAUCUGUGUUUCUCAGAAGAGGCUGAAAACUUGGGUGCCUCAGAAGGAGCAGCGUCACGUCUCAGCGAGAGGCGAGGCAACCAAGUGCAGGAUAAUGGAGACAACAAUAAGGCGAAGAAUCAUAAAAAACACCCCACCGCCGUGACCAGUGACUCAGACUCCACCACCAGCGUCGACUCAGAGUUGGCGGAGGUUCGCCGUCGCAUCACGGAGAGGUUUCCCCCCGCCCCACGCGCAGACCCCGAGGCCAGCCAGGAGUCCGUGCUGGCAUCCCCGAGUGCCGUGUGUCCCAUGCCAGACUGUGCCGCCUGUCGCUCCAUAAACUUCUCCGAGCCUUUAGUGUUUGCCUUUGACCAACCCAUCACGCCCCCAGUCCACUGUGAGCCUGAGCGCGCCUCAAGCCUUCCCUUUGUUGACCACGCCAUUAUCAAAACCAGCAGCGACCACUUCAUUCGCUCCACCAGCCUCCCGCACGAUCCAGACAUCUAUCACAGCACCCAGGUCAUGUGCCGCCACGACCAGGACGAAGAGGAGUACUGGAGUGCUGGGGAAGAGACGGCACGAGGCACUCCGCAAGGCACUCCGCGUCACCAUUCUGCGUUUCAAGGUCAUUUACCUCAGCAUUUGAAACAUCAGCCAAAACCAGUUCCCUUGCGCAAUGAGCUGUCGUCACUCGAAGACUCGAUGACGAAAGCCUCGUCACUGCAAGACUCUUCGCUGCAGGACUCCUCACCGCAUGACUCCUCUCCGCUUACAGACUCCGGCGUUGAGAUUAAAGAUCACAGCGAGCUAACAAGCAACCAGCUGGUGGAGGAAGUGUCUCAGCUGCGCCUCGAGAAUGAGAAGCUGUCGGCGAGGAACCGUAACCUGCAGAGUGAGGUGGAGGAGCUGCGGCGGGUGAAGGAAAGCAGGGGGGAGGAUGACGCUUCCCUCAAACCCAAGAUCGGUGAGAUGACGGUGGAGCUGACGCAUGCCAAGGAGGCGCUCUCGGCAUUGAAAGCAGACAGGAAGCGCCUGAAGGCAGAGAAAUUCGACUUACUGAACCAAAUGAAGCAACUGUACGCCACUCUGGAGGACAAGGAGAAGGAGCUGAGGGACUUCAUUCGGAAUUAUGAACAGCGGAUGAAGGACAGCGACGAGUCCCUCCGCCACCUGGCCGCCGAGAGAGACGAGACAGAGCGGGAAAAGUGGAGCAUCCUCAAGCAUGCGAGAGACGAGUCCGAGAGGGUCGUCAAACUCUCAACGCAGCUCAGCCUCAAGGAAGCCACUGUAAAGAAGCUCCAGGAAGAACUUGACAUGGUCCGGAAGCAGCUCAACUCUGUGGGUUACUACAGUGAUGCAGAGUCUGUCAGGACCAAUGGCUUGCCCACACCUACUGCCUCCACCCCCACCUGCUCUCCGCUACCCGUUGCCACCCCCACGCCAACCCCCAAUGGACGGGGGUCUUCGGCUGACUCCGGUGUGAGGCUCUCCAGUGACCGGGAGUCCACUGCCAGCCAUGAUGGCGCCCCCUUCCUACUCCUGGACCGUGGGUCUGUGGAUUGUGAUUCAUAUCGAUGUGCUGCCGUUCCCCAGUACCUCUAUUAUGCCUGUGGGCCAGGCACCCCUAAAGAGUCCCCCUCACUCUCCCCCCUGUAUGCCACUCCUGCGUAUUGCCGGGCAGGGGAUGACCAGUCUGGCAGAGGGGACAGAACACCUACCAGUGUACAAACUCCUGCACCCAUGAGUGGCCUUGCUAACAGUAGUGCCAAUGCCGGGGGACUGAGCCGUUCUGCUGAGCAUUUGUGUGAGCGUCUAAGUGAAGGUGGUGAGGUCUCCAAAGCACAAGGCACCAGCACACUAAUGCGCAAAAAUCACAAGAGUGGUGGCACUUGGGGUUCCAUCUCUAGGGUAUUUGCAAGACAGAAGAAACGAGCUGCACUGGACACCUCAAUAUAUGAUGGAGUCUCCAGCUCAGAAGACCUGCCUUCAGACUUCACUCUAGAGGACAUCAAAAACCCUUAACCUUACUUACUAAUGUGUGUCCUAAUGUGCCUUCAUUUGCUUUAUAUGUCCUUAUCUGUCUAUAUAUGUCCCUGUCAUUGAGUUAGUACCUCAUACAACAUGCCAGUAUGUAUUCAUGUCUUGUUUUCAGUUUGUUUGUGUGCCAAAAAAAUGGCAUUUGAGAAUGCAUUUAAAAGUAUGCUGUGGACUUCAUACACUUGCAUUAACUACAGUAUUAUAUAUAAUAUAUGUGUAUACACACACACACACACACACACACACACACACACACACACUGUUUGUUUGCCACACACAGUCUGUUUGCCGAUGACGCCAAGAUACUGAGAAGAGUGGAAAAAGAGGAAGACUGCUUGCUGCUCCAGGGAGACCUGGACACAGUGUGGGAAUGGAGCAGGAAGUGGGAAAUGUAUUUUAAUACCAAAAAGUGCAGUGUUAUUGAAUUUGGAAAGAGUGCAAUGAGAGUAGAGGGGCAUUAUAAGUUGGGUAAGGAUAAGUUAGAUAAGAAGACAGAAGAAAAAGACCUUGGAGUGAUGAUCACAGAGAACUUGUCUCCAGAAAGACAUGUGAAUAAAAUAUCAGCUGAGAUAUACAACCUGCUGAGGAACAUCAGAGCAGCGUUCACAUACCUUGAUGAGGACAUGGUAAGAAAAUUAAUUGUGACCUUGAUACGCCCUGACUAGAAUAUGCAUCAGUGGCUUGGUCACCAUCACUUAAGAAACACAUUAGAAAACUGGAGAGGAUACAGAGAGCGGCAACAAAAAUGGCACCUAGUCUGAGCGACCUGCCUUAUGAAAAAGGAUUGCCGAGGCUGAACCUCCCUACAUUGGAAAUUAGAAGAGAAAGAGGAGAUUUAAUAGCGGUGUAGAGGGUGAUGAAUGGUCUAGAGAAAUUGGAUAGAGAUGACCUUUUGAUAAGUGAAGAGAGAAACUUAAGAGGAAAUGGAAAGCUGUUGAGAAAAGGAAUUUGUUGAAGAGACAUCAAGAAAAACAGCUUCCCGCAGAGAUGUGUGGAGGUCUGGAGUUGGCUGGAGAGGGAAGUGGUACAGGCUAAGUCAAUAAGCACAUUUAAGGCCAAAUUAGACGGAAGUAGUUGGAAAGACGGGACAGCACGAGCAUAGCUCCGUUCCUGUAGAUUACAACUAGGUAAAUACACACACACACACACACACACACAAAACAAGCACAUAAACAAGCUGUUUGGAGAAACCUACAAGACGAUGCAAAAUAUAAGGGUAUCAUUCCACUUUAUGGACAAAGAAAUGAUGUAGAAAAUAAUAACAACAAUGACAAGACAAAAGCUUGAAUAUACUGCAGUUGUGUGGUCGCCUCACAAAAAGAAGAUCAGAAAGCUGGAAAGGAUGCAGAGAAUUGCAACUAAAAUGGUCCCAGAACUCUUGAAUAUGAUGUAUGAAGACAGAUUGAAGGAGAUGGACUUGACGACACUGGAACAAAGAAGGGAGAGAGGAGAUCUGAUCAUGCUGUAUAAGUUGGUAAAUAAGUUUGAUGAGGCAGAUAGAGAUGAUCUCUUCUUAAAUGUGAAAAUGCAGGGGCUGAGAGGACAUAGGAAGAAACUUAAUAAAGGAACCUGUUUGAGUGACUUGAAAAAGUAUAGUUUUCCACAUAGAAGUGUUAACACAUGGAACGAGAAGAGGUGGUAGAGGCGAACAGUGUCCAACAAAUGAAGGAAAGGCUGGAUAAAUGUAGAUAUGGAGACGGGACCAUUAGAGCUUAGCUCGGGCCCGGUAGACUACAAAUAGGUAAAUACAAAUCAGUAAACACACACACACACACACACACACACCUUUAAGUCUAAGUAACACAAAAGUAGAUAUGGAGACAGGUUAACAUGAGAUUAACUCAAAUCCUGUAUACUACAACUAGCUAGGUAAAUGCACACACACACACACACACACACACACACUCACCACACACACUCACAUUCCCAUUCUCUGAAUUUCAUUGUUUAGAGACUGGUUGUUUAAAAAAUGUCAAGUAUGAUUAAUUAGCCACAGAAGCAUUUUAUAGCACUCUGUUCUUUCCAAGGGUGAGUUUUGUUCCCUAAUUACUUCUUUUAAUUGCACUGAUUUUAUAAGAGAAUAUAUGUUAUGAUAGUUUAUUGAUGAGAAAUUUUGAUAAUAACCAAAUUUUAAUAUAUUGUAAAUUUUUACUGAGCUUUUGGCAAAAAAAAAAAAUCAGCAUUCAAGAGUUAAAGGAUUUAUGGUUCAUUUUUAUGACAAAGUUCAUAAAAAUUUCCAUGAUUUUAUGAUGCAAUAUUCAGAUUUACAUUUUAAUAGUGUCUGCAUGUUUGGACAUGAGAUGAUCAUAGUUUGGUUUGGAUUUAGGCAAGCAAAGUAGUAAUGAUUUUCAAAAGAAUAAUUUCUACAAUUUAGACCAGCAACUGCAAUUUUUCCACUUUUCUACAAGCAGCAUCUGUGAGGUGUUUUAUUCACCUGUGUUACAUGUAUAGCGAAACAUUUCUUUUUCAUGGUAUACUAGUAACAGAAAACAUACAUUUAUUCUAUUAUAUGUACUACUAAACAUAUACAUACUUUAUCCACAUGUAAAUUUGGAUGUAGCUUUACAUUUCAGUGGCAUUAAUGGCAAAAUGAAGUUGAGAUGUCUUGUUGUCUAAUGUUAAAGAAACUAUUGACUUUAUUCAUAUACUUUCAUAUUUGUUUUUAUGAUUUUUUAGGUAACCUCUGUGAUUAAUCUGUUUAUUGUAUAGAUGGAUAACACAGAAAAAGCUCCAUUGGAGUCAGUAUGCACUGACCACGCGUUGCCAAAAUACUGCCGUAACUUUGAAUACAAUGAAAAAUUAAGGAUUCGUGUAGGUAUAAAUGUAAAGAGCAUAAUUUCACUGUACUACUUGAUGUUGUGUUUUGUAUAUGUACAAGUUUUUACAACUAACAUUUGAUUACAGUACACUUAAAACUGUUGAACACUUACUGUUAAGAAACACCAUCAACACUUAAUGAACGUAAUUUUUUUCAUUUUGCUAUCGCACAGACACAUAGUCACAGUCAAUAUUUGUAACUUACAGUACCUUGAGGUGUGAAAGAUAAAAAAGCGUAUGGAUUUAGUCAUACGCAGGAUGUAUAAUGGGGCAGUACUUCUACCUAGUGUAUUUUUAUGUACCUCACAAAGCAUUGUGGAAGUAUAUACUAUUAAGGAGUUAUUUUUCUUACAGUGAUGUUCCAAAAGUAUGAUAUGACUUAAAUGUAGUGUUAUUAAGUGGCUUUGACAGCUUUUUGUUUUAUGAUAGCUUGUAACAAUCAGGGUCAUUUACAAUAUGAUUGCAAUUGAUACCAAUUGAAAGGGGCAGUGUUCUGAAGAUAAUUGGGAGGCAGUUGUUUGACAUUCCAAUGUUUCUUAUGAAACAAUAAAGAAAUUAGAUAUUU